GACCACAAAAUCGUGACCUGAGCCAACCAGCUAACUGACUGAGCCACCCAGGUGCUCCUGAGGGGCCUCACUUCUUAAAUACUCACAUCUUUGCUGUUUCAUACUCCAUUUUUCACAGCCCUGGGUUGUGCUCCAGCUGUGGCCCCUUCCCUAUUGGACUGGAAGUUCCAUGAGGUCAAGGACUGUAUGUUCCUGUCCUCCCAUAUUCUUUCUCUCCAAAAGCCUAACACAAUGCUGGGCACAGAGUCCUAUUCGAUGGGUACUUGCUGAUGAGUUAAAGAGAAACCACAGUGUGAACCAUGGCCAAGAGGCUUUGUGACCUCAUUGUCCUGUGAGUUACCUUGUCCAGACAACAUGCUGAAAAGUCACUGCUUUUCCUGAGGUCUGACUGGUAGCACCUGGUGCAAUCUCAGAAUAGUGAUCCUCCUCGGGAGCAACAGCCCUCCCCUAAACAAGGGCUUUAGAAAUUUGUGGCUCUUUGUCUGGCAUUUUAUGACAGAAGCCAGGGAUGCUGAAUGGCUUACAAAGCCCUGGAGAGAACAGUCACAACUUGUCCUGCAUCCUAUACUCCUUUGGAGUGUUCCUUCAGACACCUGGGCUGAUUUCCUGGUCAGGAGACUGCAACUGGUCUACAUAAGCUGUCAUUGCUGUCGAUCUGCACGUUUGAGGAAUGAGCAAGUAAAUACAUGGUCUAAAUUUCAAAGAUGUAGCCUAAGCCAUCCUUGUUUCUGAGAAGAGUUUUUAGUGCUUGUUUUUUAAAUAGUCCUAUAGGGAAAUGAGGCAGAUGGCAUUGGCUCACGUGAAGAUCCGUUCCUGCUGCAUGUGGUACAGGUCCGGCAGUGGGGAGACCAAGGUAAAAGGAGAUACAGGCACUGUCUUCAGGGAGUUGAUAGUCCAGAGGGUAAGAGACCAUAAAAGGGACCCACCGCAGUGCAGCAUGAAUAUUCGUGAACAAGCCACCAUACAGGGCAGGUGUGGAUAGGAGGCUUACCCAGGCCUUGCCUCACAGUGGUCAGCAUGGCAGAAAGGGGGUCACCACUCAAGCACCUCCUUCCCCAAUGCUGACACCUCCCGUGCAGAGGGGUGUCCAGCUGGUUAGUUUGAGCUUGGGUGUCUUUCUCCUACUACUUUUCUGGGAGCCAUGGCCUGAGUCUUGGAAGCAUGCCCUUGGAGGGCCAUCCAGGGUCAGGACUGCUCAGGGCUGUGAAGGCUCUGUGACGCACAAUGAGGAUGUGCUUUGCUUCAAGUGCAAGGUGAGAUGUGUUCCACGUACCUUAUGUAGCCCACCUGGGGCCUGUGCUGCAGGAACCAGCGGUAGGACACCUUGUCCUUCCAGCCAACGUUCCUCGAGUCCUUCCACAGCAGCCGGACCUGGUCACUCGUGUCCCCGGUGUGCCACAGGGAGUUGCGGAGAUGCUCCCCCGGGCCUGUCUUAGACUUAACAGCCUGAAAAGGACACGAGCACGGUAGAACCAAAUACAGAGACCACCCUUCCUGCUUCCUGGGUCCCUGGGGUGGUGACUUCACGGUUAGAAUCUGGCUGUCUUGGAUUUGGACAAAAGCGUAAACACUUAAAUGCCCUUUCUCCUGAGGUGACCCUUAACCCUUUAAUAACCAGCCCUGGCUGAUACCCCACUAACCCAUUCCACUUUUUUUCCUGCUGUGAAUCCAUUGCUCCACAUGUGUUUCUGAGAGCUCUAACGUGUGCCUUUUCUCCAAGCAGGAGUGAGGGAGGCAGCCACUCAGCCCUCCUGUACACAGCUGGCCCCAUGAAGGGAACAGAUUAGCCAGUUAAACUGGUAUGUUGUGCCUGGUGACAUACCCCCAAAUCUCUCCCAACUCUUGAGCCCUACUCAGACUGACAUUUUCACCAUCAGUCACCCAGAGGUUAGGACACAGCUUGUACCCAAGAAUGAAGGCCAAGCCCUGGGUGUGCUGUAGCACAAACACCUCGAUUUCACAGAUGAACUAAAUGCCACCUGGGACAACAGAGGAUUUAAAAAGAGGGCUCCGAAGAGAGAUGAGUAUCUUAGAGCUGUUGGUACCUUAAGCUGGAUGCCAGGUUCCGCCACAGCGCGGAAUGGCGUGGCUUGCCAAUAUGUCUGCUCUGUCUGCUUCCACAUGACUACGUAGAAGCUGGAGCUGUCUUGGUAACCAAAGAUGAAGCCAGCGUAGUCGUCAUCUGUCUGGGUGUUUACGUGGAAGGUCCCUUCAAAGUCAACUCCGUUAAAUGCCGUGUACCCUGCAGGGAUCAGAAGAAGAUCAGAGAGGCAGACCAGCCACAUGAGGAGCUGCAACGAGUGGAUUCUAUACACGUGCUCCUGAUGCCCUGGACAUACCCACUGCCAGGCCAGGAUCGCUGUUCAUAGUCUGCACAAUCUCCAUGCCCUGCAGAGAGAGUUGAAGGCCAUCUUAGAGGGGGGAGAAAGCUCAAGGAAGCCCAGAGCCUCCGGCAGCAUUGAGUACUUGGAUGUGCUGGCUCCUAGGAAGCCCUCCAGUGUUUUCCAUUCCUCUUCACAAUCCCUGGCCAGCAGACCCAAGAAGGAUCAGAUGUGCAUGCCUCAGGAAGAAUGGCAGAGAGGAGGGGGCGGCCCCUGCCUGAGAGAUGAAGAAACUGAGACUGCAUUGAGAAGUAGGAUUAAGUGCACUUGGCUGACACAUACUUUGCAGCAAGGACACUGAGCACAAGGACAGAAAUGGGACUUUAUGGCAGCUGUCGUUGCACAAGGUUGGGCUCAAGAACCACUGGGGAUAGGGCCACCUCCAAGGGGUUGAGAAGGGAGGCCCCGCUUUGUCUUCCAGGGUCCUUUCCCUCUCUCAUCCCUGUCCUGCCGCCCCGACAAGCAUCCGUGAUGGAAAUGAAAGGGGACAGAGCCUAGGACCACAGGCGCCUCCAGGGCAGAGAUAAACUUGUCUGUGUUCUUGCUGAUGUUGCUACAGCAUCUGAUCCAGCCCUGUGUCUUAAUAUAGGACUACAUCGUGUGGGGCUAGACGGGUUGACAAAACUCAUUUGCACAGGACAAUACCACCAAUAAAGGGACACAAAACGAAAAAAUUCCAAGGACAAUGAAAUAACAGUGAUCUCUCAGCAAACUGACAGUUUCCUAUUUUGGGAUGAUGGUGAAGCUUCCCUGAGCUGAAAGACUAUAAUAAUAAAAGAGCUCAUACCUACUGAGUGCUAGCUAUGUAAGGGAAGCUGUGAUGUGCACUCUCCAUAAAUUAACUCCAUCUUCCCAACAGACCUGGCUACGUGCCAUUGUCGUCCCCAUUUUUCAGAUGAGAAAACUGAGGCACAGAGAUUUGAUGACCUGCCUAAGGUUAGGUAGUUUGUAAGUGAAGGGGCUGGGAUUUAUCUAGCUGUGUAUCAUCCAGAGCCCGUGUCUGAAGCAUGAUGCUCUAUUACCUCCCCUGUGCUAGAAUCUCACUUGCUGGAGUGCCUCGUGGCCCCUCCUGACACAGUCACCUGGCUAUAGAGAACUUUCAAGGAAGUGCGGUGACCCUGGCCAGAGGCAGGGCUAUUGUCCCCCCAGUAGCUCAAUCUCUCUCAAUUUAUUCAGAGAGAUCCCAAAGCAAGGUAGUAGCAGAAAGCUCCAAAAGCUAAAAUUCCCUCUAAAUUUUUCAUCGGGCCUUAAUGCAACUGGGAAAUGUGCCAUACCUGUCCUGAUUGGUGUCACAGGAGUCCCCAACCAGGUCGUUAUCCACAUCAGACUGCAAAGAGAACAGAGCAUGUAAUUAUUUAUCCCUGGGCCUUUAUGCACAGAACGUUCCAGAGAAGGCAGAUCUGGCCCCUCACCACUGCAUCUCAGGAAGUCUCUCUGGAAUUGGGUUGGUGCAGAACUGCAAAAGGACAGCACCAUAUUGGUGUAGGCACAAUGCUGAAUUGUCAAAAAAGCCUUCCAAAAUAUCAAGCCACAUGGCUGGGCUGCCUACACACCAGAUGAGCUGAUUGGAAAGGGCGCCGGGGCAGGAUGGUGGCAGGUGGAGACGUGGAACUCUGGCACGGGUCUGAGGAGAGCCAGCCAAAGGCAUGGGGACAAGGCAAACUGAUUUGGCUUUGCUUCUGCAUGUUGGAAUUAAGCCAGAAUGGGAGUGAGUCACAGAGGGCAACAAUGACGCCCCUCUCUCAGGGCUUUAAAAAUACAUGACACAUCAUACCCAAUUAUCCAGACAGGAAGCGAGAAGGGAAACAACACGGCGCUGACUGAACUUCAUCUGAAAUGUCCAGACAUAGGCUGUAUAGGGGCUUGGGGACUAAAAGGGCACAGGCUCCCAAAGGUUAGUUUCCUUGCUACAUUUUCCUUCCGGCAAAAAGACUUGUUUUGGGCAUCAUUAAAUUCCUACUACUAAGGCACUCUACAUAGGCACUCUACAGCCCAUGAGAUUAGCCCAGAGGGCCUUAGGUCUCGUGAAGCGUUCUUCCUACCACCUCCAGACCUAAGGUGUGCAAUUCUACCAUGUCUGCUCUGGUAGGCAAGUGCAACAGCAAGGAGCUGAGCCAGUGUGCUCUGCUGUUUUUCUAGGCACCGGUCUUAAAGAAUCUUCACAUAGGGGAGCUCAGCCUAGAGUAUGAGGCCCUCAAAAGCUACUCACCUGGUUA